AACACUGAGAAUACGUCUCCUUCAAAGCACAGACAUCUUCCUUCCCAAAUCCUCUGCAUUCUAUCUAUAUCACAAACAAACAAAAAGUAUGAAUCUUAUCAUUCCUUCAUCUCACUAUCUCUCCCUCUCGAUUACUUACAACACACCAAAAUCAGUCCCAUCUCACAACUCCUCCACUCUCUCUCGAUCUAUACAGCAUAUACACACCCUAAACCACAUCAUUCAUUUCACCUCCACUCCCUUUCCCCCCUGUUAACCGGCCAACCACCACCAUCUUCAGGUGGUGGCGGACUACAGCAGCAACACCACCUCCACAGGCGGCGGCGCUGUGGUGGGUGGUGCCGGUCGAUGCUUCAAGCGAGAGAGAGAGUGAGAGGAGAGAGAGACCAGAGAGAGAGAUCGAGCAGGGGAGAGAAACGAGGAGAUGAGAGAGAGCGGUGGAGAUAAGGAGCGGCGCCGCCGCUCAUGGCGGCGGUAGUGGCGGCGCGGCGGUGGUUCUAGCGACGUCCAAUGAGUUCACGGUGGUUUAGGCUCGGGUUCAGGUGACUUGGUUUAGGUUUGGUUCAAAAUGGUUCAUCUCUGGUUCGGGUUUUCUGUUCGGGCAUCGGGUCAAGACAAGUCUACGGGUUCGGUUCAAGGUUCAAGUUCUACUCGGGUCAGUGUGGUUCGUGUCGUUGUUCAGUAUCAUGUUCGGGUCUCCCGGGUUCAGGUCGCGCAUCGGGUCCGGCUCAAACCCGGUCAACCCGGUCAACCCGGUCAAACCUGGUCAACUCGGUCAACAUCCCAAUGCGAAGAUUUGGUAAAGAUUAAUGACGUGUUUUAUAUUUACGUUAUAUUUUUAGUUUUAAUACUUAUGUGACAAACGAGCUCGAACCGAUUCGGAAUUGUAUUUAGUUUACA